rnacentral:rRNA from 1 species
UACGGAGGGAGCUAGCGUUAUUCGGAAUUACUGGGCGUAAAGCGCACGUAGGCGGCUUUGUAAGUAAGAGGUGAAAGCCCAGAGCUCAACUCUGGAAUUGCCUUUUAGACUGCAUCGCUUGAAUCAUGGAGAGGUCAGUGGAAUUCCGAGUGUAGAGGUGAAAUUCGUAGAUAUUCGGAAGAACACCAGUGGCGAAGGCGGCUGACUGGACUGGUAUUGACGCUGAGGUGCGAAAGCGUGGGGAGCAAACAGG